GAAGCUCUCUGAUGGGAUCCGCAAGUUUGCCGCUGAUGCAGUGAAGCUGGAGCGGAUGCUGACAGUGAGUGUUGUGUGAACAAAUGUUCAAUGCAGAGAAUGGAAAGUAGCGCAUCCCUGAGGCUGGACUCCAGAUCUGCACCGCCGGCCAGCUGGGACUACACAUGGCUUCUGAUGAAUCUUGUGUUUUUUACAAAUUAGAGCAGGGCAGGGACAGAUCAUAGAUUUCUGAUUUUAUGUAAAAUUUUGCCUAAUACAUUAAAGGAGUCA
rnacentral:sRNA from 1 species